rnacentral:rRNA from 1 species
UACGUAGGGUGCAAGCGUUAUCGGAAUUACUGGGCGUAAAGCGUGCGCAGGCGGUGUCUUAAGUUUGUUGUGAAAUCUCCCGGCUUAACCGGGAGGGUGCGGCGAAUACUGAGAUGCUGGAGUGCCGGAGAGGUAAGCGGAAUUCCUGGUGUAGCGGUGAAAUGCGUAGAUAUCAGGAGGAACACCUGCGGUGUAGACGGCUUACUGGACGGUAACUGACGCUGAGGCACGAAAGCGUGGGUAGCAAACAGG